rnacentral:tRNA from 1 species
AGCUAACUCUUAGAUAAGAUAAAUGUUUUGAAAGCAUUUUAAAAGAGGUUAAACUCCUCUAUUAGCUU